GGUGGGGGCCUUGGCUGCCGGAGACUCGCCAGAUGUUGGACUCCAGGUGACAUUUUAGGUUAUUGGGUCACAGAUUGCUGGCACACCCAUCCCUGUUCUCAAACAUCUUUUAAACUUGGGUGAAGUGAUAAGUAGGGGAAGAAGAUGAUUUACUGAAAGGCAGUCACAGUAAAAGACAGAGCUGAUAUAAAAAUCCCUCAGCUGCUUGAACUGCAAAGCUUCUGGGAUUACUG